UACGGAGGGGGCUAGCGUUGUUCGGAAUUACUGGGCGUAAAGGGCGCGUAGGCGGCCGUUUGCGUCGGAUGUGAAAGCCCGGGGCUCAACCUCGGAACGGCAUUCGAUACGGGACGGCUGGAGACCGGGAGAGGAGAGUGGAAUAGCCAGUGUAGAGGUGAAAUUCGUAGAUAUUGGCUGGAACACCGGUGGCGAAAGCGGCUCUCUGGCCCGGUUCUGACGCUGAGGCGCGAAAGCGUGGGGAGCAAACAGG
rnacentral:rRNA from 1 species